UACGAAGGGGGCUAGCGUUGCUCGGAAUCACUGGGCGUAAAGGGUGCGUAGGCGGGUUUUUAAGUCAGGGGUGAAAUCCUGGAGCUCAACUCCAGAACUGCCUUUGAUACUGAAGAUCUUGAGUCCGGGAGAGGUGAGUGGAACUGCGAGUGUAGAGGUGAAAUUCGUAGAUAUUCGCAAGAACACCAGUGGCGAAGGCGGCUCACUGGCCCGGUACUGACGCUCAGGCACGAAAGCAUGGGGAUCAAACAGG
rnacentral:rRNA from 1 species